rnacentral:lncRNA from 1 species
UUACUAUACCCAAACUGCAGCUUUAUUUUAAAAAGAAAAUAUAACAAACAGAAAGAAAUUAAAUACCAAAAUGCUGGUGACUAUUUCCAGGUGGCUCAUGGGUGUUUUCAUUAUGCAUUUUCUAAAUUUCUGUAAUGCACAUGCACUAACCUUUGAUUAUUGCAAAAAUAACUUUUAAAAAGAUCUAUUUAUCUGGUUGCAGCUUGUAGAACGUCAUUACUGAACAGUGGUUUUGUGGUCAAUCACUAGAAAUUGUGGAGCAUUAGAGGAGGGAGGCUACUGCUCUCAAUCUACACUUGGAAAGAUGGAGAUGUGUGGUGCCCAGGAAGGGAGAUGUGAUGCCCAGGAAGGGAGAGUAACCUAGGAUUCUGUUUCUUCCUAGGCCCCACUCUGGGUGAGAUAGGCUCUACGUGCCUGGAGUCUACAUUUCAUCACUAUCCUUGCAAUCCUUUAUUUGGGUUAUAGUGUUCUUCUGUCGAUUUGUCUAGUAUUCUCCCACAGCUGUGAGUAGUGCUAUGUCAAUGUCCUACAUUUUGUGCAAGGGAGAAAUAUCAUUUGUCUUCAUCGUCUGAUACCUUUCCCUUCCAUGGUCAACAGAAAUGACAGGGGAGGUCUGAUCUUCUAAUAGGGAAAAUUCCUUCCUGGACCAGGGCUGGAAUUUGCCCACCAAGGCCACA